ACUAAAUUGUACUCUCUGAUAUUUCAGCCACACCUCUGCCAUCGCAACAGGGGAACAAUCAGUUGCUGCGUGACAUGGGCAUCAGCACAGUCAUCGCUCUCCUUGGCCAGCUGAGGGAGGAAAACAGGGAGCUGAAGGGGGAAGUAGGAAGGCUGACGCAAGAGGUCAGGGCCCUAAGGAGAGAGAUGGGGAGACAAGACACACCCCAGACAUCGCCCCUAAUCAAGCUCCCACUCUCCACCAUGGAGGAGUUUUUGGCAGCAGAGGCCCUGGUGAAGGAAGAUGCCAAACAAAAGCAGCUAAUGGUGUCUACCUUAGCCCUUUGUGGAGGAACCGACGUAGGGGUCACAGUGAGGCGGAUGCUGCGUAGCCUCCUGGUCAACAGCUUGGCCAGCCAAUUUAACUGGGCUGGAAAGGGGGGGAAAAAACUGCGUUUAAGGACACCAAGAUCCAUGAUGUCCUGUUUGAUGCUCUACAAAAGCAGCUGCCAGGGAGCACACACGCUACUUUUAGUGACGCAAUCAAGAAGUGGCUUAAGUAUGCGCCAGAGAGAGAGGGAGGGAUGAGGAGACGUGAGGUGUCUGCGCCGCAGGAGGAAUAUAGGCCACAAUUAUAAAUUAUAAAUAAAUCAUAAAA